rnacentral:lncRNA from 1 species
AGAAGAAGAAAGUGAGAACGAAAGAGGUUAGGGUUUUGAAAGAGAGAGAAAGUGAAUUGUAUAAGGGGAGAAAGAUAAGUGAGUGGUUUAUAUAAGGAGAGUUUAGUAGGGUUCUAGAUCCUUCUCUGACGAUUGCUUAUUUUUCCGUUGAGAAGAUUUGACUUCUAGAUCCUUCUUUCUGUAUAAUGUGAGUAUGUGACGGACUACGAAUUUUCGUUUGGAGUGGGCAUUGGGCCGAGAUUAUAAUGGGAUCGGAUCGCAUAGUUCACAUUGUUAUUUUC